UACGUAGGGGGCAAGCGUUGUCCGGAAUCAUUGGGCGUAAAGAGCGUGUAGGCGGUUCGGUAAGUCGGCUGUGAAAGUCCAGGGCUCAACCCUGGGAUGCCGGUCGAUACUGCCGGACUAGAGUUCGGAAGAGGCGUGUGGAAUUCCCGGUGUAGCGGUGAAAUGCGCAGAUAUCGGGAGGAACACCUAUGGCGAAGGCAGCUCGCUGGGACGUUACUGACGCUGGAGACGCGAAAGCGUGGGGAGCAAACAGG
rnacentral:rRNA from 1 species